GCUCACAUGGUCUAGUGGUUAAGACACCAUCACUCGCUGCUUACUAGGGCUUCUUCUUGGAUAAAAAAUUGCUACGGUGUUUGGCGUUUAGGAGUUUCUAGGGUGCGUUUCGAUGGAGAUCCCAGGUUCGAAUCCUGGUGAGAGCA